UACGUAGGGACCGAGCGUUGUCCGGAUUCAUUGGGCGUAAAGAGCUCGUAGGCGGCUGUUCAAGUCGAACGUGAAAACUCGGAGCUCAACUCCGAGCCUGCGUUCGAUACUGGACGGCUAGAGUCUGGUAGGGGAUCUGGAAUUCCUGGUGUAGGCGGUGGAAUGCGCAGAUAUCAGGAGGAACACCGGUGGCGAAGGCGGGAUCCUGGGCCAGUACUGACGCUGAGGUGCGAAAGCGUGGGGAGCAACAGG
rnacentral:rRNA from 1 species